UCCCUUCCCUCUCUCCAUCCGCGCCUCUCUCCCCCGAUUCCCUUCCCUCUCUCCAUCCACGCCUCUCUCUCCCGAUUCCCUUCCCUCUCUCCAUCCACGCCUCUCUCCCCCGAUUCCCUUCCCAAAUCAAAGAAAAAAGAAAACCCAGCAGCACGCUGGCAGCAGGUAGGGAGUAGCCGCAUCCAUUUCUCCAGAGUCCAGCCUCUCCUUGGCACGUCUUUAGUCCAGAGUCGCUGCAGCUCCUCAUCGGUCGUUUGCUUCUCCUCGGCAAGUCAAGCCGUUUCCAGUUUGCUCGCUGUAGCUCUUCCAUUGCUCCACCACAGGUAGGGAGUAGCCGCAUCCAUUUCUCCAGAGUCCAGCCUCUCCUCGGCACGUCUUUAGUCCAGAGUCGCUGCAGCUCCUCAUCGGUCGUUUCCAAUUUGCUUCUCCUCGGCAAGCCGUUUCCAGUUUGCUCGCUGUAGCUCUUCCAUUGCUCCACCACAGGAAAAUUAUUUGAAGUUAAAAGAACAACAUUCAAGCCAGAAUGUGGGAUCAGAUCAUGUGGAAGGAGAUGGAGGAACUAUUAAUGAGGAUCAGUUGUUCAUUACUGCAGCAGGAGGAUGGCAAGGAAGUCGAGUUUAUGGUUUAGGUAGUGCUGCAUCUUCUGCCUUCUCUCAAACAGGAACUGUGGAGAAAACAACAAAUGUUCCAUCAUCACAAUCACCAGAAUGGAAGAAGGAAAUUGAAGCAAAGUUUGAAGAGAAGUAUAAUAGUUUGCAGAAACUUGUAGAAGAUCAAAAUCAGAUAAUAGCUCGAAUGCGUGAUGAACUACAGGCAACGAGGAUGGGACAGCAGUCUUCCUCAUUGAUGCCAUCAACAUCUGAUAUGCCUCCAGCUCAAAGAUCCCCUGGUGAUUCACAUAUAGAUUAGCAUGAUAUCAUUUCUCACUGACUUUAAUAAUAUAUUUUAUGAUAUGAAUUUGAUACUAUUUGGAUUAAUUAUGUAUUUUGAGAUAUUUUAAGUUUUAUAGUCUUGAACUAUAGUAAUGUUUUGGAUUUUUAGAUUGCACAAUUAUGAAAUGAAGUUGAUGUUUAUAUAGUA